AUAGGGGAAAGGGAAUAUGAGGCUGUUAUACAUGUAAGUUACAUGUGAAACCAUCAAAACUACGUAGUUUUGAUUAUACCCUCAUUUAAUUUUUAUAUUUUUAUAGAAGAUAUUUACUCUCCAAAAAAAUACAUACUGUUCCAUUCCAAGAUCCCCAAUUUCUCAGCCUUAUUCCUGCGAUUCCAACUUCCAAAUGAAGAUCUGCAACAAAGGUUCGUUAAUCGAAUCAAUUUUGCAAUCCCAGUUCAUCAGGGGCUGAAGAAUUGAAGAGCUCUUGAGUAAAGAAUCUCAGUAAAGAAUGAACCCUUCGGACACUCGAACCAACCCGCGACGACGAAUGAAUUUUGACCCGUUUAAUUUUAAAUGUAAUUAGUGACUCAUGUACGUAUAUUCUUUGUAAUUUUUUGACGUGUUCAAUUGUAAUCCAAUGAAUUUUGACCCGUUUCAUUUUAAAGCAAUGUAUUUUUACCUUGUUUGAAGUGGUUCAUUUUUAUUCAA